AACUAAUGCAGCCUUAAAUAGUUCCUUGAGAGCAAAGACCAAGUUUCCGUUUCCUCAUCAAAUCCACGGCGUCGUCGGGCAUAGUAGGUACUGAAUUUUUGUUGAAAACAGUGAAGUGGUAAACCCAGAAAAACUAUGUGAGGCCCAAAGGUCAAGGAUGCUGAGAGAAGAGAGUAACUUGCCCAAGGUCACACAGCUAAUUAACAGCAGAGCUGGGAUUGGAACCUAGGAGGUCCCCUCGAAAUACUUAUCUCUGAGGAUUUUCAGACUUCUACACAUAAACUGAGGAGGAGGAAAGCUACACAAACCAGUGCUACCUGAAGUGUGGUCUGUGGACCGGCAGCUCCAGUGGCCCCUGGACGCUCGUUAGAAACGGCAUUUCUCGGUGUGUUCUCAGAUCUACUGAUCAGUAACUGAUUGCAGGUGCGGAGCCCAGCAGCCGUGCUCAACAACCUCUCCAGGGGAUUUGGACGCACGCGAAGGUUUGAGCGGCACUGUUGCGGAGGGUUUUCAUGCAUUCUUCAACAAAUAUUUAAGGAUGAUCCCUAGAAGGGGCCGGUGGCUGUCCCGGGAGGAUAAGACACAGAUGCUCUCCUCAAGGAGAGUAGCUCCUUCUUGAUGAACCCCUUCUCAUCCUUCAAGAUACUGUUCAAGAGCCCCCUGGAGGACCCCACAGCCCACGGCACGUAGACUGACUGUGGCCACACCGGCGCCGCCGGUGUCUUCACUAGCGCCCCCACACCUGUCCUCCCACCUGGAGGCCUGUCCCUGCGAAUUGCUCUUCCCAACCGUCCCGUGUUCUGUGCGGCCUCCGUGCUCCUGUGCUCACUGGUCUCUCCGUGAAGCCUUCCCUCCUUCAAGGGCCGCUCCCGGGAAGCCUCCCCGCCCUCCGUGCGGACCGUCACUGUCCAUCCCUCUGCGUCUCCUGUGUGCCUCCACUGGGCCUCUCUCGGGUCAUAAGGUGAGAUGUUUUAUGUCUGGUUUUCCCCUAAACUAGAAGUGUGCAUUUUAAAUUUCUAGA